rnacentral:rRNA from 1 species
CCAUCCCGACAGUCGCAUCAUCAAGCCCUAAGCCGUGUGCUUUCCCGUAAAGCCUACCGCUUAGAGCUUUUGCUCUAAUGCUCUUUAACAAUGUGGAACAAGCUGACAAAGCAAGACGAUACGUCUCAAGCGUAUCCGGCAAUUAUCGUGUUCAUCCACGAUCAGACCCUUUGGGGUUAUAUGGUCAAGCGAUGAAGCGCAUACGGUGGAUGCCUAGGCAGCCAGAGGCGAUGAAGGACGUUGUAGCCUGCGAAAAGGCUCGGUGAGGUGGCAAACAACCUGCGACCCGGGCAUGUCCGAAUGGGGAAACCCACUCAUCACAAGAUGAGUAUCCCGCACUGAAUUCAUAGGUGCCGGGAGGCGAACCGGGGGAACUGAAACAUCUAAGUACCCCGAGGAAAAGAAAUCAACCGAGAUUCCCUCAGUAGCGGCGAGCGAACGGGGACCAGCCCUUAAGUCAAUGCACGGUUAGGUGAACGGCCUGGAAAGGCCGGCCAUAGUGGGUGAUAGCCCCGUAACCGAAAACCCGCAUUGGUGAAAUCGAGUAGGUCGGGGCACGUGAAACCUUGACUGAAGACGGGGGGACCAUCCUCCAAGGCUAAAUACU